UGAAUACGAGACGCUAAGGCGUCGAAGUAGUGUAUGUCAUACUUCCAAGAAAAGCUUGCACUGUCAUAGAUAAAAAACGCCUGUACCAUAACCGACACAGGUGGGUAGGUAGAGUAUACUAAGGGGCGCGAGAUAACUCACUCUAAGGAACUCGGCAAAAUAACUCCGUAACUUCGGGAGAAGGAGUGCCUUAUUCUUAAGGUUGCAAUAACAAGAUCCAAGCAACUGUUUAUCAAAAACACAGGUCUCCGCUAAGUCGUAAGACGAUGUAUGGGGGCUGACGCCUGCCCAGUGCCAGAAGGUUAAAGAAGCUGGUUAGCAUUUGCGAAGCUAGUAACUGAAGCCCUGGUGAACGGCGGCCGUAACAAUAACGGUCCUAAGGUAGCGAAAUUCCUUGUCGGGUAAGCUCCGACCCGCACGAAAGGCGUAAUGAUUUGGAUACUGUCUCGGAGAGGGGCUCGGUGAAAUAGACUUGUCUGUGAAGAUGCGGACUACCUGCACCAGGACAGAAAGACCCUAUGAAGCUUUACUGUAACUUGAAAUUGAAAUUGGACUUUAUUCGCGCAGUAUAGGUGGGAGGCGUUGAUUAUAAUCUUGCGGGAUUAUUGGAGCCAUUAGUGAGAUACCACUCUUGUAAUGUUAGAUUUCUAACUUUGAAUCAUUAUCUGGUCAAAGAACAGUUUCAGGCGGGCAGUUUGACUGGGGCGGUCGCCUCCUAAACGGUAACGGAGGCGUACAAAGGUUUCCUCUGAACGGUUAGAAAUCGUAUCUAGAGUGUAAAGGCAUAAGGAAGCUUGACUGUGAGACCUACAAGUCGAGCAGGGACGAAAGUCGGUCUUAGUGAUCUGACGGUACUGAGUGGAAAGGCCGUCACUCAACGGAUAAAAGUUACUCUAAGGAUAACAGGCUGAUCUCCCCCAAGAGUUCACAUCGACGGGGAGGUUUGGCACCUCGAUGUCGGCUCAUCGCAUCCUGGGGCGGUAGUACGUCCCAAGGGUUGGGCUGUUCGCCCAUGAAAGCGGUACGCGAGCUGGGUUCAGAACGUCGUGAGACAGUUCGGUCCAUAUCCGGUGUAGGCGUUAGAAUAUUGAGAGGAGCCUUCUUUAGUACGAGAGGACCGAGAAGGACAUACCUCUGGUGUACCAGUUAUCGUGCCAACGGUAAACGCUGGGUAGCUAUGUAUGGAGUGGAUAACCGCUGAAAGCAUCUAAGUGGGAAGCCCACCUCAAGAUAAGUAUUCUCACC
rnacentral:rRNA from 1 species